rnacentral:rRNA from 1 species
AACGAACGCUGGCGGCAUGCCUAACACAUGCAAGUCGAACGAGACCUUCGGGUCUAGUGGCGCACGGGUGCGUAACGCGUGGGAACCUGCCUUUAGGUUCGGAAUAACUCAGAGAAAUUUGAGCUAAUACCGGAUGAUGUCUUCGGACCAAAGAUUUAUCGCCUUUAGAUGGGCCCGCGUUGGAUUAGCGAGUUGGUGGGGUAAAGGCCUACCAAGGCGACGAUCCAUAGCUGGUCUGAGAGGAGGAUCAGCCACACUGGGACUGAGACACGGCCCAGACUCCUACGGGAGGGAGCAGUGGAGAAUAUUGGACAAUGGACGAAAGCCUGAUACAGCAAUGCCGCGUGAGUGAUGAAGGCCUUAGGGUUGUAAAGCUGUUUUACCCGAGAUGAUAAUGACAGUAACGGGAGAAUAAGCACCGGCUAACUCCGUG